rnacentral:lncRNA from 1 species
CAUGACAUCAACGCUCAUUUUAGCUUUAUCCAUUUUUAAUUGUCGAAAAGUCUUUAUUUUUAAGGGAAAGGGAAAUAAACACAUUUUAAACACAUUAAAGUUCUUUAAAAUGCUGAGCUAAGACAUUAAGACCCACUUUGUUAUGAUAUAAAUGGCAUGUGCAUACUUAGACCUGAACACAUACAUGUACAUGAAUACACACAAGCUGUUUACUGGUUAAUGCAAAUGUGACUAUUGAUUUUAAAAAUUGUUCAACACAUUUAUACCAACACAUCCUGAAUUUACCUAAUAAAACUGAGGAUACAGCAUAUAAUUAUGAUAAUUAGAUUAUGUAGGAAAGUGUAUUUUACCAAAUAGUAGGAAAGCUUUUAAAAGUAGCCUAAUCUUAAUAUAAAAAAGUUUUCACAGGGACCUUAUUUCGAGGCUAUUUAAAACGACAGUGUGCUUAUUCAAUGCAUUGGACAGAUACAAGCAGAACACAGUGUUCAGACAGUUAGGCGUUUAAAUAGGACAAAAUAAUCCCUUGAAACAUUCUUUUUUCUUUAGACUUAACGUCCGCCUCCUCAUGCAGUUCAUGUUCUAUGUCAUAAAAUGUGUUUUGCCCAUUGGCCACAUGCUAAAAUACAGCUUAACGAAUCAGAUUUGACCGGUGAGAACAGUAAAAACUCCUCAAUUUAAGGAUGAUUUAGUUCUCUUAUGCCCACGCAUCGGUAAAUGAGAUGCUUAAUGCGCCGUUGGCCAAAAAUAAACGAAAGAAGUACACGAGCUUACCUGUGAAUGUCCCUGGUACAUAUUCAGUCCGAGUGCUGAAAACACCGGCGUGUGUUACACCACUACUGUAACCUGUCAAUGAGAAGGAGAAAUCUAUCCCUGAGUCUCGGGUACUGAGAUGUUUUCAUGCUCCAGCUGCGUCCGCGUGAGGAUUCCUUUACAGGACCUUUCACGAGACCGUGCAUCCGAGUUUCUGGUGUUCAUAUUACGCCGUGAGCUUCAAGCUUCACGAGAAGACUACAACUCCCAUGGUGCCACAGGGUAAGCCAGGACUUGCGGCACCACGUGCUUAGGCUGUCACAGGUGACGUACAGCGGAGAGCAGCAGCAGAGCCGAGAGCAGGACAGCAUGACAAGUAACGAUCCCGGAGUAAGUUCUUUAAUACUUUAUUAUCUAAAGAAAGUAUUAUAAAUGUGUAGAAACAUUUUGUUUGCGGAUAAUAACUGCAUUUUAAAUAACUGGCGUCUAGUCGUGUGCAUUUAAUUGUAUGUGUUUAUUUAUGUUUUAAAGAAAGCUAUGCUAGCUUUGCCAGGUUUAACUGUCACUAUGAUGCAACCUGUUUUUAUACAGUCUAUGGAUGCAACGUUGUAUAACUUUAUGUAUGUGAUCUUCAUUGAAGUAUGAUUAUUAUGAUAUAGUUCAUUCACAGUUUCAAAAUCACAAUUUGUGUCAGUGAUGUGAAAUUAUAAACUGUUUUAAAGUUGCUUCCUUCAUGUGUCUUAGACCAGGUUAUUUUGGCACAGUUGAAUCAGUGGCGUAGACAGAAUUGUUUUUUUUUUUGAAGUAGUUUUUUUGUUUUUUUUUUUUUUGGGUCAGGCCUGGGCAAAAAUGAUCGGGGAGUCGGACUCAAUAUCCAGGUCAUUUCAAUUUUUUGUUUAAUUCUAUUAAAAAGAAACCGUAGAACACAGUGGAAGACACGCAUUGUAAAACUUGCCCGUUUUCAACAUAACCUAAAAUCCUCCACAAUAGACCCAAUCCCUAUACAAUACUGUUGCAAAUUACAAUAGGCCACUCAAGUUAGAAGCUGUGUAGAAAGGCCGCAAGGUCGCUAAUGUACGUCUGCUCAACUAAUACGAAUACAAACUUGAACGUGACCUUGUAUCAGUGUCACUCAUAGUGCGUUCAAGUCAUGUAGUUGAUCGUUACUAGUUGAACGCACAUGAACGCCACCACAAGUCGUUAUCAGGAGUGGGGAACUCGAAAUUUUCUUUAACAUCGACAUACAAGAGAACUGUAGCUACAACCUGUCCACAUACAAAACCUAAAUAGCAAUUUGAAUGAAAAUUAAUGACUUCAUUGUUUAUUCCGAAACAGAAGUCAUUUAAAAUGUUAUUUGUGUAUUUUCAUUUUCAAAGAUAGCCUGUUCAAGGCACUGUAUUUCUUCAUAUUUCCUUAAAUAUAUUAGAUAAUAUUGAAGUGUAUAAAAUUAUUCAGAAAUGUCAUGUUUGUGAUUUAUUUUUUUUAUUUUUUUGUUAAUUUGUUAAAGUACCCAUGAAAUCAAAAUUUUAUUAUUUUAUUUGUUUUAUUUUUUAGUCUGAAUAUUUCAAGACCACGAUAUACUUAAAAUGAAGUUAUUUCUCAUUCUUCGUUUAGGGGUAAAACAAAGUUCGAAAUACGUGAGCGGUGGUAUACUGUUAUCGAACAUUCCGACGUCGACCCCUCUGGUGAAAGCAAAGUUUAAAUGAAUAUGUAAAUAUGUGCUGCGCACUUCCCUCUCAGUAACAAAAUAAACACAACAAAAAUGGAGAGAACAGCGAGCAUUUUUUUAUAAAAAAAAAACAACCAUCUGUUCAUAGUAACAUGGGUAUGCUUGCACGAGCUCUGCAAACUCCCGUGAAGUCACAUCACGUGUAUUUACAUGUCACUUUAUUCCAUAUAUUGCUUAAAAGCAAUCAGCAGUAUUAAACACACCUCCACCUCCAAGGACUCGACAGAUGAAAUUAACCCAUAGAAGAGUUCCAUGUGAAAGAAGGCGGAGCCUCAGCGCACACCUCCUAUGACGUAAUCGCCACCGACCAAUGAUAGUACGAAGAUGUUCUGCAGCCGGAACAAACUUUUCAGGAAAGUUCGGCUUUGGCAAGCCGUUUCGAACUCCCAAAACACACUUUGUUUUGGCUGAAUUUUGUUCAAGAUGAAGUCACAUCAGUUCGUUCUUCGAUUUCGCUUGAAGUAUAUCAGGGCUUUAUGGUUAUCUAUAAGCUAGUGUGCAACAAAAUGACAAUUCUCAUUUAGAAGAUAUAAGCAUUCAAAAGCCCUAUUCGCACGGGAUUAUUAUUAUCUAGGGACCUUGUGUGAUUUUGAAAUUACUCCCCCACAUCUGAAUUUUGUGGGGUGCAUUCGCACGGGAUAAGCGAAUCCUGUGAUUAGGGCUCAAGCCUGGAGGGCGAGAGCCCUAUUGUUUUCCUUAGGAUUAUUUUUUAUUAUUAUUAUUAUUAUUAUUUAUUAUUAUUAUUAUUAUUAUUAUUUAUUUUUUUUCCUUAACGUUCUCGGGUCGUUUGG